CCGAAUCCACUGACAGGUCUUGAAUGAUCUGAUGUUGUUCUUUUGGUUUGCACUAGGAUGUGGGGGAAAAAAAAUCCCUGUACUUUCUGUCUACCUGUGUAGUGGCCCAAUUGAAUAAGGGACUACAUCU